UACGUAGGGUGCAAGCGUUAAUCGAAAUUACUGGGCGUAAAGCGUGCGUAGGCGGUUGCGCAAGACAGGUGUGAAAUCCCCAAACUUAACCUGGGAAUUGCACUUGUGACUGUGCGGCUGGAGUGCGGCAGAGAAGGAUGGAAUUCCGCGUGUAGCAGUGAAAUGCGUAGAUAUGCGGAGGAACACCGAUGGCGAAGGCAGUCCCCUGGGCCUGCACUGACGCUCAUGCACGAAAGCGUGAGGAGCAAACAGG
rnacentral:rRNA from 1 species